rnacentral:rRNA from 1 species
CCGGCGCACGGGUGAGUAACACGUAUGGAACCUGCCCGCAGCAGGGGGAUAAGCGGAAGAAAUUCCGUCUAAUACCGCGUAACACCGCAGAGGGGCAUCCCUCGGCGGUUAAAGAUUCAUCGGCUGCGGAUGGCCAUGCGGCGCAUUAGCUAGUCGGCGGGGUAACGGCCCACCGAGGCGACGAUGCGUAGGGGUUCUGAGAGGAGGGUCCCCCACACUGGUACUGAGAUACGGACCAGACUCCUACGGGAGGCAGCAG